AUACUGACUAGUCUAUUUAUCUAUUAGGUCUAAUACAUGUAUCCUAUACUGACUAGUCUAUUACAUGUAUCCUAUACUGACUAGUCUAAUACAUGUAUCCUAUACUGACUAGUCUAAUACAUGUAUCCUAUACUGACUAGUCUAAUACAUGUAUCCUAUACUGACUAGUCUAAUACAUGUAUCCUAUACUGACUAGUCUAAUACAUGUAUCCUAUACUGACUAGUCUAUUACAUGUAUCCUAUACUGACUAGUCUAAUACAUGUAUCCUAUACUGACUAGUCUAAUACAUGUAUCCUAUACUGACUAGUCUAAUACAUGUAUCCUAUACUGACUAGUCUAAUACAUGUAUCCUAUACUGACUAGUCUAAUACAUGUAUCCUAUACUGACUAGUCUAAUACAUGUAUCCUAUACUGACUAGUCUAUUACAUGUAUCCUAUACUGACUAGUCUAAUACAUGUAUCCUAUACUGACUAGUCUAAUACAUGUAUCCUAUACUGACUAGUCUAAUACAUGUAUCCUAUACUGACUAGUCUAUUACAUGUAUCCUAUACUGACUAGUCUAAUACAUGUAUCCUAUACUGACUAGUCUAAUACAUGUAUCCUAUACUGACUAGUCUAUUUAUCCAUCAGGUCUAGUACAUGUAUCCUAUACUGACUAGUCUAUUUAUCAGGUCUAAUACAUGUAAAACAACAAUAUGUUAGUAUAUAUUUAUAUUUAUUAUUAUAUUUAUAUUUAUUGGCCUCAAAGCGCUACAGCCACUCUGUGAUGACAAGCUCUGCUCUUUUAUUGAGGGAUCUAGUCUAGAUUAAACCUCAUAGGUAGACCGUUUUACCAUGUCGAGGUUUCAUUCAGGUCUCUCUGUUUAACCAAAU